CCGCUCUUAUCUCACACCCUGACAUGAAUGUUGUCAUUUCAUGCACACACACGCAGCCUUGGUUCACCCCUCUUCCUAGCAACCCCUACUUUAAGAAGUCUUGGGGAAAUCAGCUUAUGAAAAAGUCUAGAGUGAUCCAUCAUUUCCGCCCGCUGUUAUGGGGAUGUAUAACGCCUCGCGCACGCGCAGAAUGUACACUCCAUCCGGCAUCGGUUUGGUGUGUUCGGAGGCACUUUUUUACCGACUGGGGGAGAUGGGAGCCGACUGAUCGGUCCGACUGCUUUUCUGCCGACGGUCGGCCAUCAGGUUGGUGUGUCCUGGCCUUAAAGCCCCUUGAACAGCACAAAAAUGAAUAAAAAGUGUUUUAUAAAUACA